rnacentral:rRNA from 1 species
AGCACUUCGGUGCGAGUACAGCGGCGGACGGGUGAGUAACGCGUAGGAAUCUACCUAGUAGUGGGGGACAACAUGUGGAAACGCAUGCUAAUACCGCAUACGCCCUAAGGGGGAAAGCAGGGGAUCUUCGGACCUUGCGCUAUUGGAUGAGCCUGCGUCAGAUUAGCUAGUUGGUGGGGUAAUGGCCUACCAAGGCAACGAUCUGUAGCUGGUCUGAGAGGAUGAUCAGCCACACUGGGACUGAGACACGGCCCAGACUCCUACGGGAGGCAGCAGUGGGGAAUAUUGCACAAUGGGCGCAAGCCUGAUGCAGCCAUACCGCGUGUGUGAAGAAGGCUCUAGGGUUGUAAAGCACUUUCAG